GCUUUCCGCAAGCGGCCACCCGAGGGCGCGCUGGGCGGGCGGCGGCGGCAGACCACGUAGCCAGCCUGUAAGCCACAGCGGACGCAGGGGGCCGCAGCGGGUGCUCAGCCCUAGGGCCGAGCGGGAGAUGUGCGGCGAGUGCAGAAGGGCGGACCCGGGAUGUCCCGGGUUUUCGAGCGGGGAGCCGCCUGCUGAAUGCCCUUCUGCUGCCCUCCGUUCCCGCGGCUCCCCUAGGAGCCCCGCCCCGUCCAACUCUUACCCGGGCUCAUCGCCGCGGCUCAUCUCUCUCGCAACCGCCGCCGCACGCACCCGCUCCGCCGCCCCGCGCAGGGCAUCCUGUCGCCAGCGCAUCCCUCAGAGGAGUUUCAGCAUUUGGGGAUUUGAACGGCCCAUGACCAAUAUUGUGAAAGGACUUUUGUUUGCUGCAAUGAAAAGAAGACUCCUAUUUUUCAAUAAUGAAUUAACCUAAACAUGUAUUAAAAUAUGCUCAUGAAAGCUGUGGGAAGCGACGGUGGGCUUCCUUUGUCUAAGCAUGUUAAUUUUUACGCACCUGGUGUAUCACGUGCAGGAUUGAUGUUGCGUUCACGGGAAACCUGACCUCCUUUAACCAAGGACUGGGUGCGUGCCCCCAGCUAAUCCUCCUGCCCAUCAGAAAAUGGUGCUCUUUAAAGUUUUAAACGAGUAUAUAUUAUUUAUUUUGUAGUAAACCAUCACACAUAGAAAAUUAAAAUUCAAAAUCACAAUCACCAGGAUAUCAUAAUUUGCUAUAUAAUAACAUAUAAUAUAUAAUAAGUAAUACA
rnacentral:lncRNA from 1 species